GAAAGUCAUUGACUGAAUACUAACUCAUGUUUUCUCUACAGUUUUGCUCUAGAAACCUUCAUCUCUGCAUCCUGGGAGUGGGUAGCUCUGGGUAGCAAAAGCAGCUCCAUGUGCAGAAAGCAGAUCUGUGCAAGGAGAAGUAAGCCCUCAUCUCUCUGAAAAUGGGCCCUUGUUGAUGAGCUGACCCUGUGCCAAGCUCUCCAUACCCAAGUCCUGCUGGGAGAAAGCUGGUCUCCCAGGAGUGCUGACACACAGGCUUACAAGAGGGACAAGCCACAGUCAGAGACAGCAAGACAAGCUAACACAACAGAUGACCAGAUGGUAAGAGGCAAGGGCAAGAACAUAAGCAACAGACACCAAGGCUACUUGGCAUCAUCAGAACCCAGUUCUCCCACCAUAGCAAGCCCUGUAUACCCCAACACAUAGGAAAAUCAAGACUCUAAAGUAAAAAUCACAUCUCCUGAUGAUGAGAGAGGACUUUAAGAAGGACAUAAAUAACUCCCUUAAAAGAAAUACAGGAGAACACAGGUAAACAGGUAGAAGCCCUUAAAGAAGAAACACAAGCCGGGAGUGGAGGCACACACCUUUAAUCCCAUUACUCGGGAGGCAAGGGCAGGCAGAUUUCUGAGUUCGAGGCCUGCCUGGUCUACAAAGUGAGUUCCAGGACAGCCAGGGCUACACAGAGAAACCCUGUCUCGAAAAACCAAAAAAAAAAAAAAAAAAAAAAAAAAAAAAAAAAAGAAGAAGAAGAAGAAGAAGAAGAAGAAGAAGAAGAAGAAGAAGAAACACAAAAACCCCUGAAAGAAGGCAACCUAGAGAUAGAAAACCUAGAAAAGAGAUCAGGAGUCACAGACAGAAGCAUCACCAACAGAAUACAAGGAAUAGAAGAGAGAAUUUCAAGGGCAGAAGACACCAUAGAAAACAUUGACACAAACAGUCAAAGAAACUGCAAAAUGCAAAAAGCUCCUAACCCAAAACAUCCAGGAAAUCCAGAACACAGUGAAAACCUAAGGAUUUUAUGUUGGGAGCCGCGCCCACAUUCGCCGUUACAAGAUGGCGCUGACAGCUGUGUUCUAAGUGGUAAACAAAUAAUCUGCGCAUGUGCCAAGGGUAUCUUAUGACUACUUGUGCUCUGCCUUCCCCGUGACGUCAACUCGGCCGAUGGGCUGCAGCCAAUCAAGGAGUGACACGUCCGAGGCGAAGGAGAAUUCUCCUUAAAAAGGGACGGGGUUUCGUUUUCUCUCUCUCUUGCUUCUUGCUCUCUUGCUUCCUGCACUCCUGCUCCUGAAGAUGUAAGAAAUAAAGCUUUGCCGCAGAAGAUUCUGGUCUGUGGUGUUCUUCCUGGCCGGUCGUGAGAACGCG
rnacentral:lncRNA from 1 species